rnacentral:rRNA from 1 species
UACGUAGGGGGCAAGCGUUGUCCGGAUUUAUUGGGCGUAAAGAGCGUGUAGGCGGCCAGACAAGUCUGCUGUGAAAACUCGAGGCUCAACCUCGAGCUGUCGGUGGAAACUGUCUGGCUAGAGUCCGGAAGAGGAGAGUGGAAUUCCUGGUGUAGCGGUGGAAUGCGUAGAUAUCGGGAGGAACACCAGUGGCGAAGGCGACUACCUGGCCUGUUCUUGACGCUGAGGCGCGAAAGCUAGGGGAGCAAACGGG